rnacentral:rRNA from 1 species
AGAACGACUCUCGGCAACGGAUAUCUCGGCUCUCGCAUCGA